rnacentral:tRNA from 1 species
CCCUGAGUGGCUCAGUUGGUUGAGCAACUGACUUUGGCUCAGUCACGAUCUCAUGAUUUGUGAGUUCGAGCCCUGCAUCAGGCU